AUUACCCCCACCUUUUCAUUAAGAAAAUUUUAAUUAAGAAACUCUUUCCCUCUACCCAUUACCCAACCCGGAAAUCGCACCAAGCCCUAAAAACAUCUCCAUCUCUACCUCCUCCUCUCCUUCACCGGCGAACCACGCUUCUGCAUGAACCACCAACUGAAGAACGGGCGAUGGCGAACCACGCUUCUGUGAACCACCACUCUGAACGAUUCUGCAUGGUCGACGACCUCGAACGUCCAUCGUCGAUGCUACCGGCAACCUUCGUUGGGGUUGGGGCGCUUCACAGCAAGGAUAAAGCAAAUCCAUUGGCAACAGUUCUCAGUGCUGCUAUGCUUCUAAAGUAUGGCCUCGGUGAAGAAAAUGCUGCCACAAGAAUUGAGGCUGUAGUUUUGGAUACACUAGGCAGAGGAUUUAGAAUUGAUGACAUAUACUUGGCUGGAUGUAAACGAGUCGGAUGCGAAGAGAUGGGUGAGGAACUAUUAAAGUCUAUAAAGUCCCAUAUACUUGCUACAGUUUGAGUCGAACGUGGGCGAUGGAUUCUUUUUUCGCCUCUUAGCGUUGGUUUGCAAAUGCGCUUUCAUGUCAGUGUCCAACCUUCCUCUUUACAGUUAUUCUUUUGCAUCUGUAUGAACCAGUUGAGUUUAAGGUCUUCUUUUUACCUUGGAACUAUAAAUAACUGUCAUCUUAGGUUGUAACAUUCUGACAUUUUUGACAAUAGGAAAAUAAAAUUAUUUGUCCGGCCAAUUUGCUGCUUCUUUCCCAAUUUUUCAUUCACAUUGACUUAAUUUGAAACAAAAAGGUUCAGAGUCAGAAUGACAGAAUCAAGGAAUGAAGUGGAUCAUUUAGAUUGCAUAAGAUGUAUGUGAUUAGUUUGGAAAAGUUUAACUUGACAACGUUGGGUGUCUUGAAGUUGCUUUAGUUUCUUAAGCUUAAACUUAACUUGACAACGUUGCAGGCAAAGGAGGAUGGGCUAUCUUCUAUGAACCUUAAGAAAGAAGAGAAGUGGAUUCCCUUAUUAGGGAUACGAUUGAUAAGGUCCUAAUUCUUCGAUUUGGGUGGUGUUCUGAUUCAGUUUUUCUCCUUCUUGAUAAUAUUAUGUGUAACCAAGUCCUACUAUUUCUAACAUCCUCGAAUUUUGUUUCUUUCUUCCACGGUUGAUAUGCUUUUUCAAAAUUGAUUAUUUUCUUUUUCCAUGUGUUUCAUUCUUUUUCAAUGGUUUAGCUUGCUAAGUGCGCACGAGAAGUAUCCAAGUUUGCUUCAAUAACAUUAGUUGAUAUUGAUUUAGAAGAAAUGCAGGUUUAUGUCAAGUACUUUGACAUAACUCUUAUACCGUCAGCUAUUUUCUUCUUCAAUGCCCAUCAUAUGAAGAUGGAUUCAGGAUUUGACGCACAAAUGGACUUCAGAUGAAUAUAAAAAGAGUUUUUGAUUUGUAUCUUAUAAUUUUUUGUUAUGCACAUACUUUUGGUCCAAGACUUGUAGGAAUUUUUUGUUGUGCACAAUACUUUUGGUUUCUAGGUGUAACUUUUUGAUGUAACUUCAUGGUUAUAACUUGGAACUAACUUUGGAUAUCCAUUUACUAGAUGUAACUUCGUACUUAUAACUUAGGUUGAAAUUGCUUGAACUAUUUAUGAAGAUAUUGAAGUUUCUUGACCUA